UACGAAGGGGGCUAGCGUUGCUCGGAAUUACUGGGCGUAAAGGGCGCGUAGGCGGACAGUUUAGUCAGAGGUGAAAGCCCAGGGCUCAACCUUGGAAUUGCCUUUGAUACUGGAGAGCUUGAGUCCGGAAGAGGUGAGUGGAACUCCGAGUGUAGAGGUGAAAUUCGUAGAUAUUCGGAAGAACACCAGUGGCGAAGGCGGCUCACUGGUCCGGUACUGACGCUGAGGUGCGAAAGCGUGGGGAGCAAACAGG
rnacentral:rRNA from 1 species